rnacentral:rRNA from 1 species
CCUACGGGUGGCAGCAGUGAGGAAUAUUGGUCAAUGGGCGCGAGCCUGAACCAGCCAAGUAGCGUGAGGGAUGACUGCCCUAUGGUUUGUAAACUUCUUUUAUAUGGGAGUAAAAUGUUGCACGCGUGGCAUUUUGUAUGUACCCGAUGAAUAAGGAUCGGCUAACUCCGUGCCAGCAGCCGCGGUAAUACGGAGGAUCCGAGCGUUAUCCGGGUUUGUUGGGUUUAAAGGGUGCGUAGGUGGAUUGUUAAGUCAGGUGUGAAAGGUUGCGGCUCAACCUUUAAAUAGCAGGUGAAACUGGUAGUCUUGAGUGCAGGAGAGGUAUGCGGAAUGCGUGGUGUAGCGGUGAAAUGCAUAGAGAUCACGAAGAACUCCGAUUGCGAAGGCAGCUUACUGGACUGCAACUGACGCUGAUGCACGAAAGUGUGGGUAUCAAACAGGAUUAGAUACCCGUGUAGUC